GACAGAGGUGCCGAGCGUUAGGCGGAAUCACUGGGCUUAAAGCGUGUGUAGGCGGGUCGUUAAGUGUCUUGUGAAAUCCCCCGGCUCAACCGGGGAACUGCUGGGCAUACUGGCGAUCUUGGGCCAACUAGGGGCAACUGGAACAAGCGGUGGAGCGGUGAAAUGCGUAGAUAUCGCUUGGAACGCCAAAGGUGAAAACAGGUUGCUGGGGUUGUGCCGACGCUGAGACACGAAAGCCAGGGGAGCAAACGGG
rnacentral:rRNA from 1 species